rnacentral:rRNA from 1 species
GUCGAACGCUGGCGGCGUGCCUAAUACAUGCAAGUCGAACGCAUUUGCGAACGGGUGAGUAAAGCGUAGGUAACUGCCUCAUAGCGGGGGAUCACUAUUUGAAACUAUCUCUAAUACCGCAUACUGUGCGAUGGACCUGCGUUGUAUUAGCUAGUUGGUGCGGGAAAGGCUCACCAAGGGGACGAUACCUAGCCGACCUGAGAUGGUGAGCGGGCACCCAGGGACUGUGGAAAGGCGCAGACUCCUGAGGGGGGCAGCGGUAGGGAAACUUCGGCAAUGGACGGAAGUCUGACCGAGCAACGCCGCGGGAGUGAAGAAGGUUUUCGGAUCGUAAAGCUAUGUUGAUAGAGAAGCGGUAACGAACAAGAAAGGGACGGCUAACUACGUGCCAGCAGCCGCGGUAAUAC